CUACGGGACGCUGCAGUGAGGAAUAUUGCACAAUGGGGGGAACCCUGAUGCAGCAACGCCGCGUGGAGGAUGACGCAUUUCGGUGUGUAAACUCCUUUUAUAUGUCAAGAAAAUGACGGUAGCAUAUGAAUAAGCACCCGCUAACUCCGUGCCAGCAGCCGCGGUAAUACGGAGGGUGCAAGCGUUAUUCGGAAUCACUGGGCGUAAAGGACGCGUAGGCGGGUUGGAAAGUCAGGUGUGAAAUCCUACAGCUUAACUGUAGAACUGCACUUGAAACUUCUAAUCUAGAGUAUGGGAGGGGGAGAUGGAAUUAGUGGUGUAGGGGUAAAAUCCGUAGAUAUCACUAGGAAUACCUAAAGCGAAGGCGAUCUCCUGGAACAUUACUGACGCUAAGGCGUGAAAGCGUGGGGAGCAAACAGGAUUAGAUACCCUCGUAGUC
rnacentral:rRNA from 1 species